GACGAAGGAUGCAAGCGUUAUCCGGAUUCAUUGGGUUUAAAGGGUGCGUAGGCGGACUGAUAAGUCAGUGGUGAAAUCUCUUUGCUUAACAAAGAAACUGCCAUUGAUACUGUCGGUCUAGAGUAUAGAUGACGUUGGCGGAAUAUGACAUGUAGUGGUGAAAUACUUAGAUAUGUCAUAGAACACCGAUUGCGAAGGCAGCUAACGAAACUAUAACUGACGCUGAAGGCACGAAAGUGCGGGGAUCAAACAGGA
rnacentral:rRNA from 1 species